rnacentral:rRNA from 1 species
UACGUAGGGGGCGAGCGUUAUCCGGAUUUACUGGGCGUAAAGCGCAUGUAGGCGGACAUUUAAGUCGGGUGUGAAAGCCCCGGGCUCAACCUGGGAAUUGCAUUCGAUACUGAAUGUCUAGAGUAUGAUAGAGGAGAGUGGAACUUCCGGUGUAGCGGUGAAAUGCGUAGAUAUCGGAAAGAACACCAGUGGCGAAGGCGGCUCUCUGGAUCAAUACUGACGCUAAAGUGCGAAAGCGUGGGGAGCAAACAGG